rnacentral:rRNA from 1 species
AUCAACUUUCGAUGGUAGGAUAGAGGCCUACCAUGGUGGUAACGGGUAACGGGGUGUUAGGGCACGACACCGGAGAGGGAGCCUGAGAAACGGCUACCACAUCCAAGGAUGGCAGCAGGCGCGCAAAUUACCCAAUCCCGACACGGGGAGGUAGUGACAAUAAAUAACAAUACGGGGUUCUAUAGGAUUUCGUAAUUGGAAUGAGUACAAUUUAAAUCUCUUAACGAUCAACAAUUGGAGGGCAAGUCUGGUGCCAGCAGCCGCGGUAAUUCCAGCUCCAAUAGCGUAUAUUAAAGUUGUUGCAGUUAAAAAGCUCGUAGUUGAAUUUCGGGGUUAGUAGGUUGGUCAUGCCUCUGGUAUGUACUGAUCUCACUGAUUCCUCCCUCUUGACGAACUGUAAUGUCAUUAAUUUGGUGUUGCAGGAAAUCAGGACUGUUACUUUGAAAAAAUUAGAGUGUUUAAAGCAGGCUUAGGCUUGAAUACAUUAGCAUGGAAUAAUGAAAUAGGACGUUUGAACCUAUUUUGUUGGUUUCUAGGAUCGACGUAAUGAUUAAUAGGGAUAGUUGGGGGCAUUAGUAUUCAAUUGUCAGAGGUGAAAUUCUUGGAUUUAUUGAAGACUAACUACUGCGAAAGCAUUUGCCAAGGAUGUUUUCAUUAAUCAAGAACGAAAGUUAGGGGAUCGAAGACGAUCAGAUACCGUCGUAGUCUUAACCAUAAACUAUGCCGACUAGGGAUCGGAUGAUAAUUUUUUAAUGACUCAUUCGGCGCCUUACGGGAAACCAAAGUGUUUGGGUU